UUUCUCCCAGAGCCCCAAGUGGGGCGGGAAUGUGGGCAGUUAUGGGAGGCACGGAGGCUGCAGUUGGAGCUGGUCGGGGCUUUUUUAUCUGGCAGUUACUUCCUCAUCUGAGCUGGGCUCGGCCUGGCGGUCUCCAGAAAGGCCAGCUCUCGGCACUGUCUCGAGCUCUCCUCUCCUUUCCUUAACGCUUCUGGGUGACAGGAGCUGCAGUUGUGGCUGUUUUUGUUAAGUUUGAGAUCUUUCUUAGUGGCCGAACGGGGCUGCUGGGUAGUGCUUUUUGCUCCCAGCUCAGCUACUCCCCCAACCUUGGGAGAGGUUUUGUUUUGAAACUUUGUGUUUGGGCUUGGCCCUUUUUGAAUGCCUUGGUGUGUUUUGUGAUUAAAGUUGUUCAGUCAUACAACUUAACUAGCAUUCGGGAUCAUGAUGUGUUAUUCUCGUUAAUGUGGCGGUAAAAUAUAGUGUUUGAGUUUUGGCAAGCCACUUUAUUUCCUCAUUUUGAUAGGGGCCCUAGCUUCUCUGGUGAGAUAAGGCUAUGAAAAAUGGUGUGUGUGCGUGUUGGGGCAGGGGGUGGUCUUUUGGAAUGUAAUAGAUCAGCAAGCAGAAAGUAAAUUUUCUUGAUGAACUUGCUUUUGCAGAUAUAAACGGGAACGCAGUUUGUGAGAUUUGGAAGUAAUGUUGUAGGCUUCCGAUGUUCAUUUUUCUUCCUAUUGAUCAACGGUGUUAGACUGUCCUUUUUCACUAAUAUACAAGCUUUAUGGAUUUUUUUUGUGGAUGGCUUAGGCUUUGCUUCUGCUACUUGGGUUCAUUUGCUUUGAUUUUUCUUCAUGCUGUAUAAGAAACGUUACUAGGACAUUUAUAAGGCCUCAGUGGGGCAAAUUUGCAAAAAGAUACUAAAAAUUUAAGGGGAUGGAAUGAUGAUUAAGACUGGGAUUUGGAUCUCUAUUCCUCUGCGCUUUCUUUAAAAGAUGGCUGGGAUGGGAAAAGAAGUGUCCAUUUCAGAUUCAUUCUACCACCUUGGAGGCAAAACAUACUUAAGAUCCACUAUUAUAUGCAUACUUUGACCGAAGGCCUACUUUGCCCUAGCUAUUCAUUGGGAUUUUUUUCUGGUUCUUGCAGUGGUCGUCUCGUUUCCUCCAUCAGAUGAAUUGCUAAUGAGCUCUGCACCUGAAAUGGCUCCCCAUUCACUUUGUCGUUUGCUGUGCUCCCUAAGGGCAGAGGAUUUUGGAGCUCACUUCCUUGCUGGACACCCACUAAGCUAAAUACUGAAUAAUUUUACCACUGAUCCCACGGAACUGGGUUCUCAAACCAAGUAAAAAGUUGCAGUGAUUCUUGGAAAUUAAAGCAAAGAACAUUACAGCUGUGUUGAGGUCUUGCAUAGGGCUGUGUGAAUGUAGAAGCAAAGGCAGGUUUGUAUUUUGAGAAUACAUUUAUGCUUGUCUUACAUGUAUAUCCAGGGACAUAGAUGAGAAAACAGCCAGACCAAAACUCAGAGCCUUUAGAUUUUUUCACCAGCUUGCAAAAUUGUUCAAGAAUUGGUAUUUUGUUGAGGUUCUAUUAAUGACAAUGACCAGUGUAGGAUGAGAAUGGGCCGUUUUCUUUUUUUCUCAUUAAGAGAGAUUUCCUUUGGACCGUAGGCAUGUGGACCUUUCCAAUUUGCACCACACACGGUAGUAAACACAACUGUCUUCCAAUCAAAAGUGUUCUUCCCGUACUCAAGGGUGGAGUUUGCAAGCAGCUGGCCUGUGAUUGGGCAGAUUUUCAUUCAGUUAUGUUUAAGAUGUUUUCAGGCAUGCUUGGUUUUGAGUAAUGCCUAGCAGGGCGCCCCCUUUUAAGGAUGAGUAAUUGAGGGUUGGAUGAAUGAGUUUCUGAAGUGAUUGAAAACACACUUCUUAAUUUUAGAUUCCACGAAUACAUCUCUUUCUAAAUACUUUUUGAUUCAGAUAUCCUAUAAAAUACAGUACUGAUCCAUUAAAUGAAACCUUUUUUGGAAAACAGUAACAAAGCCAAGUGCUACCUUAAGGUGAGAUGUGAAAAAAAGGAGUCAGGAUCCUGUUGAUUGAGAGUUUUGUUGAUAAGGUUCUCAUAGGUGGACAUCUUCACCAGCAGAAGCCAUGCUGACAAAUUACUCAGAUGUUUAGCCAAGGCAUGAAAACAGCUUUUCCCCCACUUUCUAGUGGAAUAGUAAUUUUAUUUGUGUUUUAAAAUGGGCCUUUUAUUUUUUUAGAAUUAGUUUAUGGGUUGUAUGCAUUUAUCUCUGGCUUUUCUUUCCUAAUCUGGUGUCCUCUUUGUGUUCCUAAAUCAUUAUUGGCUCAUGUAAGUUGCAGAGACCUUGGGACCGUCACGUAUAUGGGUAUUGUAGAUAAAACAGACCAAAAAAAGAAACCCAUGGAUUUUCCUUUUUUUGGUUAUAAAAGCAAAGCUUGUAAUUUGCAAAAUGUCAAACAAAGGUUUACACAAGAAAAACCAGCAAUCUCUUUGCUCAUCUUUCUUAAUGCUAGUACAAAAAACAUGAAAACAUUCAACCGUAUACAAAGAGUUCCCUCUUUUUUUAGCAAAUGGUGUCCUACUGCACAAUAUUUGCACCCUGCCUUUUUUUUCUUUCAUUUGACAGUAUACCAUGGGGAUCAAUACUUACAGAUUUUACUCAUCGUUUUUGGUAACUACCUUAUAUUCCAUAGAAUGGAUGUACCAUAAUUUAUUCAGUUAUUCCUCCUGUUAAUGGACAUUCAGGUUAUCUAAAGUUUUUUUGGCAGUAUAGACAAUGCUGUCAUUAAUAUACUUGUAUACAUAUUUUUAUGUAAUCCAGGUUUUAUUUCUGUAGUUUAGCAAUCCAGGGUUGAAAUGGUUCGGUUAAGAAGUAUAUGUAUUUUUUAUUUUAUUACAUAAUGCCAGGUUAUUUUCCAGUAGGUGUAUAGCAUUUCCUACUCCCACCAACAGUACUCAGGGUGCUUGUUUCUCUUUACCCUUGCCUUCACUGGUAUCAUCAGUCUUUCUCAUUUUUGCCAAUCUGAUGGGUGAAAAACAAUAUCCAUAAUUUUCAUGACUAUUUGUCCUUUUUUUCCAUGUGUACUGGCUUUUUCAUUUCUUUUAUUUGUUACUUAUGGAUAUCUUUUGCUCAUUUGAGAAAAAUAGGAGUUGUCUUACCACUCUCUGCAAGUUCUGUGCAUGGAUAUUAACUCCUUCACCUGCGUAGUGGGUUGUAUUUUGUUUCACUUGUCUCUUGACUUUUUUUUUUUUUUUUUUUUUUUUGAGACACAGUCUCGCUGUGUCACCCAGGCUGGAGUGCAGUGGCUCCAUCUCAGCUCACUGCAACCUCUGCCUCCCGGGUUCAAGCGAUUCUCCUGCCUCAGCCUCCCGAGUAGUUGGGACUACAGGCGUGUGCCACCACGCCCAGGGUCUCACUCUGUCACCCAAGCUGGAGUGCAAUGACACAGUCACAACACACUGCAGCUUCGACCUCCCUGGGCUCAGGUGAUCCUUCCGCCUCAGCCUCCCAAGUAGCUGGAACCACAGAUGCACACUACCACGUCUGGCAAAUGUUUGUAUUUUGUAUAGAGAUAGGUUUUGCCAUGUUGCCCAGGCAGGUCUUGAACUCCAGUCAAGCAAUCUGCCUGACUUGGCCUCCCAAAGUGUUGGGAUUACAGGCGUGAGCCACCAUGCCCAGCCAACAUUUUUGUUUAUUUUUACCUUUAGAUUUUUGGUACAUCUGGAAUUUAUUUUUUUAUUUUUAUUUAUUUAUUUUUUUUGAGACGGAGUCUCACUCUUGCCCAGGCUGGAGUGCAGUGGCGCGAUAUUGGCUCACUGCAACCUCUGCUUCCUAGGUUCAACCAAUUCUUCUGCCUCAGCCUCCCAAGUAGCUGGGACUACAGGCAUGCAUGAGAUUAGGUUUCGCCAUGUUGGCCAGGCUGGUCUGGAACUCCUGACCUCAGGUGAUCCACCCACCUCGGCCUCCCAAAGUGCUGGGAUUACAGGUGUGAGCCACCGUGCCUGGCAUGGAAUUAUUUAUUUAUUUAUUUAUUUAGAGACAGAGUUUCACUCUUGUCGCCCAGGCUGGAGUGUAAUGGUGUGAUCUCGGCUCACUGCAACCUCUGCCUCCUGGGUUCAAGCGAUUCUCCUGCCUCAGCCUCGCAAGUAGUUGGGAUUACAGGCGUCCACCACCAUGUAAUUUUAGUAGAGAUGGGGUUUCACCAUGUUGGCCAGGCUGAUCUCGAACUCCUGACCUUAGGUGAUCUGCCUGCCUCGGCCUUCCAAGUGCUGGGAUUACAGGCCUGAACCACCGCGCUCGGCGGGAAUUUUUUUUCUUUCUUUCUUUCUUUUUUUUUUUUUUUUGAGACGGAGUCUUGUUCUGUUGCCCAGGCUGGAGUGCAGUGGCGCGAUCUCAGCUCACUGCAACCUCUCUCUCCCAGAUUCAAGUGAUUCUCCUGCCUCCAGUCCCAGUAGCUGAGAUUACAGGCGUGCACCACCACACCCAGCUAAUUUUUUUUUAUUUAUUAGUAGAGACGGGGUUUCGCCAUGUUGGCCAGGCUGGUCUUGAACCCCUGACUUCAGGUGAUCCACCCGCCUUGGCCUCCCAAACUGCUGGGAUUACAGUCAUGAGCCACCGCACCCAGCCUUUUUUUUUUUGAGUGGUUUUAUCUGUCAUCCAGGCUGGAGUACAGUGGUGCAGUCAUAGCUCACUGCAGCCUCAAAUUCCUGGGCUCAGUUGGUCCUCCUGCCUCAGCUUCCUGAUUAGCUGGGACUACAGGUGCACAACAUGAUUCUCAGCUUUUUAUUUAUUUAUUUAUUUAUUUUUAUUUUUAUUUUUUUAUUAUUAUUAUACUUUAAGUUUUAGGGUAUAUGUGCACAAUGUGCAGGUUAGUUACACGUGUAUACAUGUGCCAUGCUGGUGUGCUGCACCCAUUAACUCGUCAUUUAGCAUUAGGUAUAUCUCCUAAAGCUAUCCCUCCCCCCUCCCCCUACCCCACAACAGUCUUCAGAGUGUGAUGUUCCCCUUCCUGUGUCCAUGUGUUCUCAUUGUUCAAUUCCCACCUAUGAGUGAGAAUAUGCGGUGUUUGUUUUUUUGUUCUUGCGAUAGUUUACUGAGAAUGAUGAUUUCCAAUUUCAUCCAUGUCCCUACAAAGGACAUGAACUCAUCAUUUUUUAUGGCUGCAUAGUAUUCCAUGGUGUAUUUAUUUAUUUUUUUUUUUUAGACACAGUCUUACUGUGUCAGCCAGGCUGGAGUGCAGUGGUGCGGUCUUGGCUCACUGCAACCUCCACCUCCAGAGUUCAAGUGAUUCUCCUGGCUUAGUCUCCUGCGUAGUUGUGAUUACAGGCGUGUGCCACCAUGCCCGGCUAAUGUUUGUAUUUUUAGUAGAGACAGGGUUUCGCCAUGUUGUCCAGGCUGGUCUUGAACUCCUGACCUCAGCUGAUCUGCCUAUCUCAGCCUCCCAAAGUGCUGGGAUUACAGGUGUGAGCCACCGUGCCCCCCCCACCUUUUUUUUUUUUUUUUUUUUUUUAAGAGAUUGGGUCUCACAGUUUUGCCCAGGCUGGUUUCAAACCCCUGGCCUUAAGUGAUCCACUCAGCUCGGCCUCCCAAAGUGCUUGGAUUACAGGCAUGAGCCACUGCACUUGGCCUGGAAUAUUUUUGUAAUUGGCAAGUGAGAUGAGGGACCUAAUUUGUUUUCUGCUGAGUGACCAGUUGUGGCAACACUAAUUUUUUUAGGUAAACCAUUCUUUUCUUUCUGUAGGUGUAAUUAAAUGAUGCUGUACAUGUAGUAUCACUUGGUUUUGAAUGUGUAUCAUAGUUAUCUCAUGUAUCCAGAAGUUACCAGAGAAGUGAAAGCAUAUCCGCCCUAUUUUUUUUUAUCCCUUAAUCUUUCAUCUCUCUUUCAAGGAAAGACGGAUUCUAAAAUACUCCUUUCCUUUGAUUAGAGAUAAUGUAAUAAUUGUAGCAAUGUCUAGGCUAGUACUAUGUUUCUUCUAUCUGAGAGUCUUCCAGGAGGAGUGAAAGUGUAUCUGCCUUCUGUUUUUACACCUCCCCACCGAACCUUUCCUCUGUCUCAGGGUGGGGUAGGUAGACUCUAAAAUACCUCUCUAUUUUGUUUCUAAAUAAUGUAAUAAUUAUAGUCAGGUUCAGGAUAGUACUAUAUUUACCGUAUUUCCAGUGUACAAUUCGCUACCUAUGGUCAAACAUAGAAUUUCAGCCCUAGUUGAAAUGGGAGUUUGUGGUUUUAAAAAUGUUUGUGUCCUUUCAUUACUUACAAUUCCAAAAGUUGAAACUCUGAGUGAUACCUUGAUACUUAUGCUCUAUUUAUUAAUGUAAAUAGAAUAUGUUUUUGUGAUUCUGUGUAUGGUUAGAGAACUUUAAAUAAAAAUGACAUUGUACUUUUUGACAUUAAGACUAUAUACUGUUUAAUUGUGAGCCCGUCUAAGCACACUCAUCAUCUUAACUCUCCCCUUACAGCAUCAGGUCUGUUUUUGAAACACUG
rnacentral:lncRNA from 10 species